ACAAAUGCUUUGACAGGGAAGAGUAUAGUGUAAGGGUCCAUACUAGAGAGGGAAGCAAAUUGGUGGAAGUUUCCCGGAUACCUGCAGUAGAAGGUCGCCCUGUAUGCAGCGACCCUGAACAUGACUUUUAGUCAGUAGGGGAAGCCGGUGAAGAGCCGUUAUCUCCCUCGAGUGUACGACACCUAUAAUUUAGUGUCGUAAAUGAAGGUGGUACCACGGAAACUAACCCUUUUCGUCCUUUUG
rnacentral:ncRNA from 1 species